rnacentral:rRNA from 1 species
UACGUAGGGUGCGAGCGUUGUCCGGAAUUAUUGGGCGUAAAGAGCUCGUAGGCGGUUUGUUGCGUCGGCUGUGAAAACCUGCGGCUUAACUGUGGGCUUGCAGUCGAUACGGGCAGACUCGAGUUCGGCAGGGGAGACUGGAAUUCCUGGUGUAGCGGUGAAAUGCGUAGAUAUCUGGAGGAACACCGGUGGCGAAGGCGGCAUCCUGGACCAACACUGACGCUGAGGAGCGAAAGCCAGGGGAGCAAACGGG